AACGCUGGCGGCGUGCCUAAUACAUGCAAGUCGAACGGUCUUUCUAUGGAAGCUUGCUUCCACUGAGAAGAUAGUGGCGAACGGGUGAGUAACACGUGGGUAACCUGCCCAUAAGAGGGGGAUAACAUCCGGAAACGGGUGCUAAUACCGCAUAGUUUUCUUGAUUGCAUGAUUGAGAAAGGAAAGACGGCCUUUGUGCUGUCGCUUAUGGAUGGACCCGCGGCGUAUUAGUUAGUUGGUGAGGUAACGGCUCACCAAGACGAUGAUACGUAGCCGACCUGAGAGGGUGAUCGGCCACAUUGGGACUGAGACACGGCCCAAACUCCUACGGGAGGCAGCAGUAGGGAAUCUUCCGCAAUGGACGAAAGUCUGACGGAGCAACGCCGCGUGAGUGAAGAAGGUUUUUCCGGAUCGUAAAACUCUGUUGUCAGAGAAGAACAAGUUGGAGAGUAACUGCUCCAGCCUUGACGGUAUCUGACCAGAAAGCCACGGCUAACUACGUGCCAGCAGCAGC
rnacentral:rRNA from 1 species